rnacentral:rRNA from 1 species
UACGGAGGGUGCAAGCGUUGUCCGGAUUUAUUGGGUUUAAAGGGUGCGUAGGCGGUCUUUUAAGUCAGUGGUGAAAGCCUCCAGCUCAACUGGAGAACUGCCAUUGAUACUGGAAGACUUGAGUAUAGUUGAGGUAGGCGGAAUUGACGGUGUAGCGGUGAAACGCAUAGAUAUCGUCAAGAACCCCGAUUGCGAAGGCAGCUUACUAAACUAUAACUGACGCUGAGGCACGAAAGUGUGGGGAUCAAACAGG